GCAGGGCUAUGUUAGGCUUUAUACAAUGUGACCCUCUAGUCUGUACAAGGAGAGGAAUGCAGAGGGAAAGAGAUUCACUGGAGUCUCUCGUCAGUGACCUGGUGGUGAAUAUAUGGUAAUGGGUAAAUCCCACUUCACCUAAUGAAGAAAAGGAGAAGGAUGCACUUCAUUCUUAGAAUCUAAGCAGGAACAGGAAAGGGAAAAUCUAGGAGAAGAGCUUACAAAGACUGUAAAUGCCUUCAAGAAGGUGAGAGAAACUAAUAUUUGGUUUACUGUUAGCAGGCUGUUCAGGUGGCAUUUUGCCAAUAUAGCCCUAUCCCUACGUGAGUAAGGGAAAGGGAAUUGUGGUUGGACAACCGAGUUCUGAGAAAGGCAGUGAUUGAGCAGCUGAACUCCAUCCAUUUGGUGGGUGAGGACCCCAGAGUAUUCAAAGGAUCAAAUGGAAUGUGACUGAAGAGUUAUCUUGCUGAUCUUACCCAGGAGGACUGUCCCCUAGGCAAGGGAACACUAAACACAAAGAGGCAUGGGAUAAGGAUUUCGUGAUGAGAAUUGGGCAGAACUGGUGUUUAAUCCCCAUGUCAUGACACAGUGAAGGAGUGAGAUGUGAAGGUGCUCUGUCAUUGCCUCAGUCAAGGCUUUCAUGCUACACUGGAAGAAAGAGAAGCGUGAACAAAUUGUGUGAUACUUGAGGUCAUGCUGUGUACCUGUAUUGAACAAGAAUAAGGGAAGGAAGCUGGGAACCUGGAUCUCCCAUAUAUUGGAAGUUUUGUAAAAACCUUGAGCGUCCCUUCCACUACGUAUGGGGAUUAUGGGAACUGCAAUUCAAGAUGAGAUUUGAGUGAGGACACAGCCAAACCACAUGGAAGAUCUGGCAAGAGUUAGCGUGCAGUUCUACAUUGUGACAAUCCAUGAGAGCUAAGGACUGGCUGUCUCUUGGGACAAAUAGGCUUUCUUGAGUCUGCAUGAGGCCCUCACCAGAUACAGCCACCUGAUCUUGGACUUCACAGCCUCCAGAAAUGUGAGCUAAAUAAAUCUCUAUUCUUUAUAAAUUACUCAGUCUCAGGUAUUCUCUUGUAGCCACA